UACGUCCGACGGCGGCGGCGUGCAGCGGGGAAGCGCCACCGAGCCGCGGCGGGAGCCCUCAGCCCCCCGGCCCGGCGCCCGUGCCGCCGGUGCAGCCGGCGCCGUCCCAUGGAGCGGCCGCUGCUGCCGCUGCUCUGCGGUACCGUCGCUUUCCUGCUGUCCUGGGUCGCCGCCGACAGCGUGCCAAUGCGAUGCAGCCGCCCCAAGGACGUGGCCAACGCUCACAUCGACGUGGGCAACAACACCCUGCUCAACACCCGCCUGCGCUACACCUGCAACGCCGGCUACAAGCGCAAAGCCGGGACCUCCAGCCUCAUCCAGUGCAUCCUGCGGGAUGACUCCAGCGAGCCCGACUGGACCCACACCACGCUCCAGUGCAUCCGGGACCCAGCUCUACCUCCGGAAACCCCCAGCCCUGAGGUCCCAAUGGCGCCGCACACUGAGAGGAUGGCCCCAAAGGGAACCACUGAAACCAGCUCGACCUCCAGCCCCUCUCCAGCAGCAACACCUGCACCCCCAGCACCUGAUGGGACAUCACCAGAGACACUUCCACCCCUGCAGCCAUCCACACUGGGAGAGGAAACAGCUCCAGGGUCAUCGCUGGGGACAACCACACUGCCUGACAUCCCCCCAGAGCAUGCUGCAGUUUCCAUCCAGACCCUGGCCUCUUCCAUUGGGCUCUCAGUGCUGCUGGUUGCUGGCAUCGUGGCCUGCUGCUACUGGAGGAUGAGAAUGCACUCAGGGCAGAGCCAUGCGGUGGCAGUGACAGCCAUCCCCAUGGCGGCUGUUGCUUCUGAGAACGAGGAGAUGCUGCCACCCAGUGUUUACCCCAUGGGCUGAGCACUCAGCACCAGGCAAGUCGAAGCACCCACCAGCCCAGAGGAUGCUCAAGGCUGGGAUGGAAAGCUGAAAGCAGCAGCAGUGCAUGGCAGAGCACAUCCUAGUGCCCUGUACACGGAGCAUCUUCACCCCAGGGACACGUGGCUGCUCUUCCCAGCCUGAACAAGGCACUGUCAUGGAUGAGACUCCUGCAGCAUGCAAAGCCAUUCACUGGUGAACCCAAAAGCUGGUGAAGGUGCCUCAUACACAGCUCAGGGAUCCUGCAGACCCUGGGUGCCACUGGCAAGGAGCGAUUUCACUGCAGACACCAUCAGACUGAAGGCAAUAAGACAACCUAAGGAAGUAUUCCCCUUUGCAUGGCUGCCCUUUUUCUACUCCAGUUGUUAUCCCCUCAUUUCCUGCUUGCUACAGAAGAGGCAGCUGUAGACAAAUGCUGGUUUAUGUAUAUAUCUGUAUAUAAUGUAUAUCAAAUCAUACACAGAGCAGUUGAUCUUGUCUGUUUAGACAUCCUGGCAGCCCUGAAGGUAGGAAGGAUGGAGCAGGGCUGGGGUGAAAUCCAUCUUAGCAGCAGCCAGGGCUCACCACUACUCUCCAAGGCCAAGGGUGAUGGGAAGGUGGAACUGCCUGUUCUCAGAUGGACAGGGAAAGGGGUUUUAGAGGUCAGCUGGACAUUAAUUGAUACCUGAUACCCAACUUCUAUGCCCUUUCCUUGCUGCUUUGUCUUGGCUUCUGGUUGUGCCACUGAUCCGGACCAUUGAAGCAGGAGGAAGCAGCACUUCGGAUGUGACAGACCAAACCCUCUGGCAAUGGCACAGCCUCUUCCAAUGCACUGGUGGAAGACAGGUGAGGCUGGAAGGGAUCCCUGGAGGUGCCUGGUCCAAUUCCAAGUCUUAGGUGAAAUUCUGCCCGUAUUUAGGUGAGAACAGAGCAAGUGGAGUCCACACUUUGAGAGCAAAAUCAGAGCCAGUGAAGCAAGUGAAUGAAGCAAAUGAAGCAAUCACUCAGUAAAUAACCAUGGAAAUCAACAUGAUGCCUUGGCCUCUUCCAGCAGGCAUGGCUCUUGGCUCUGGGCCUAUGUCCAACAGCUGAUCUCUUCCCAAAUCACUUUCAGUUUUGGAAUGACACAGUGCCUGGCAUAAGCCAUCAUCUGCACCUCUUGCAUCACUGCUACUGUGGUGUCUGUCAAUAAAUGCAACCCCGGACAAUUUCUUAACUGCAGGCAAGAGAACAAACAAAGCAUGAAGGCUUUUUUAGUUUGUUACAACCUUAAUUUCAGGUUUAAAACUCUCUCUGAGACUGAAACCAAAUCAAAGCAGUUGCUCAGAUGCUGACUCUCUUCUUUCCCUAUGGUUUUCUUCCCCAGGGAGAAGGGGAAUAGCCUGGGGAAUCCCUUGGCUGCCUCAUUCAGCUGGGAGAGCUUUAAAGACCUUUUCCCAGAGCCAACAGUGCAACAUUCAUUUUCUCAGAAUAAAGUGUUUCUUUGGGUAUUUUCUAGUAUUUCCUCUUCUUCCAGUGGAUCAAGGGAUUUCACUGAGGAACUGACAGGAUGGAGUAGACAGCAGUAUCCUGGCAGCUUGGUCGCUGGAGGGGUAUUCCUUGAGACAGAGGUA